rnacentral:tRNA from 1 species
UGUAAAUCCAUGUACAGGAGCUAUUCCUUAUAACCAG